CUUCUAGAAGAUGGGACGUAAAUGGUUUGAUUCAGUGUACUUUAGUGCAUGGGAGCUUUUGGAGUGCAUUUUGGUGACAAGUGGAACUACACAUGUCAAGUGUUCCCACCCUACUCUUUGGCUAUAAAUAGGACCCUUAGGAUGAGUUUUAAAAUUUUAGAAAUCCCCUGUGCCUUCUCUCUCACUCUAUCUUAUGGGUUGUUCUUGAGAGAAAAAAACGGCUAAAACCGAUAAAAAUUUCUAAGUGAGUGAGGAGAGUGUUUCCGUGUGUUGAUCCUUGUCCUAGGAUCUGUUGUGUUGUGCUAAGAGAGGUGGUCUUUGGCUUUUGGAGGUGUUGUGCGGCUUGUGAAGACCUAGGUAACCGUAUAGGGUUGUGCGGUUGCAGGGUGAGGAGGACGAGGCCAGCGUAGUUUUCCGAUGUUGUUUGCAAGGAGCAAGAUGUUUAUGUUUUCACUCGUUUUGAUUUUUAUUGGCACCCGUUUGACUCGUUAUUUUCUCUUUGUUGUUGUAUUUGAGGACUUUAGUCGAGUUCCCGACUUUGUGAAAUAAAUAAAGUAUGUUUGUUUAAUAAAAUCCCCGUAGAACGCUGAUAUAUAGUUUUGUCCAAACUUAACACAACUCUUGGCCGAGGUACGGGUUGGCAAGCCUUAGGCCGAGGUCGAGAGGGACAGUAUUGUGGCCGGACUGGUCGAGAUUUUGAAUUUGUUUAAAUUGUUGGCCGGACUAACUACGGUACUCGUCAAAACUGUGACACUUUCGGGUCGUUAUGGGUUAGUCCAACCUAGGACGGUUCGUGGGUGUUAGAAAUGGUGGUAUCAGAGCACAGUUGAGAUACCGUGCUUUCGUUUGCGGGUUUUUAAAUGUUUUAUCGAGUUAAAAGGAAUCGCAAACAACGUCACUAGGGAACUGGAACGUCCUCUUCUUAGGACUAGGUAUGUUAGAUCAGUUUUUGGGAAUUUAGGACCUCACUCUUAUCUUGUGUUGCAGUUUUUGGUGUUGGUAAUCGACAGGGCGGGAGUGGAUCGAGGAUGGGGAAUGUGGUACGGUUACGAAGAGUUGGGCAAGUGACUGAAGCAGCCGGUUAUGAUGGGUCAAGUGAAUCGAGCUCAUCCAGCGAGUCAGAGUCUGAUUCCAACUUUGAAAAUGAGAAUGUGGUCGAGAGAACCGAAAGUUCGCAUGAGACCGGGUCAUCCGAGUUUGAGGAAGUUGAGGUACUUGAAGAGAUUGAAGAAGAAUCUGAUCAUUUGGAGGGUAUGAACUUUUCCAAAGCAUGGAAGCCAUUCCGCAAGCAUCAUCCAACUCAUUCAACUUCCAGUACGGCUAUGGCAAUGAGUUGUGGGAGGCAAUGGAGAUCAAUUCAUCUGAUGUGGAGAUAAUUGAACAACCACCGCCGGAAAUCAUUGAGAUCUCAUCAGACAGCACGGUGGCCGUCAACAUUGCCGACUUCAGUUCCCGAGAGACCAGUCCAUGGAUCCUAAUGCCAGCUUGGAGUCCAGCGUUCUCACUUGGAGGAUCUAUUGAUUUUAGCUUGGAAAGUAUUAGGCAAUUCUUUGACCCAUACUACGAGUACCAUUACUCGCCAAUGCCAAUGGAGUCAUCACCAACCAAUCCGGAAGUCGGAACAGAAGCAAGGGAACUGGGCAAGGAAGUUCAACAAGAGACCAAAAGGGAAGUUCAGAUGAUGGAGGGUACUCAGAAUGGGAUGACCAGAACAAGUGGAGCUCUAGGAGGACAAGUGGAAAAAGGAGGUACUAGUGGAGGACCAGCAUCAAAUGUUAAAGACUCUCGCGAUAUUCCAACCAGAAGAGAAAGCAAUGUGUGUGGAGCAGGUGACCAUCAUACUCGGGCGUGCACCAGAAUUAGGAGUCAGCCGGACUUGAGUGCUUACCUGAUCUGCACCUCGUGUGAAACUCGUGGACACUUCGUCGCGGAUUGUCCAAUGACCAGCGUGAUCUAAGCCGUACACAUCUCCGUCGUUUCCCCUGCCAGCCCUGCUCGAUCAGCCUCAUCUGCAAUGGGAGGAUAGAACCAUAGAAACUAUGGCCAUUCUAGGAACCCUCGUCGUUGAGCUCGUGGGAGCUAAGGUAGGUGGUUGCUGAUCCUUCUCUUUGCAUGUUGUGGCUGUUGUUUUGUUUUGUUAUUGUGUUGCGUGUGCAACCUUCUUUGUUGUGGCAUUGAGGACUGUGUGUCCGGGUAGCAAGUGUUGUGUAGUGUGUAGACCUUUCUAAGUUUAGGUAGUUAAGCUUUGCUUUAGGAAACCUUGUUUUUUUUAGGAGAGAGUGAACCCUAGAGUUUAGGAAGCCGCCCCUUAUUUAUAGCCAUGUGAUGAGUUGUAAGUGGGUGUGGUGUCGGAAGGACAUAAACCUUGACAAGGUGUACUCAUGAAGACUUGUGCGUGCAUGAAGAAAAUCUAGAACCAGAGGCGACCGUAGUAAACACCGGCAGCGAGUGUGCAAGAUCAAAGUAAUCAGUGGUCGAGCUAGUGAAGAAGCAACCGAGACCGUAAUGGAAGCAUGGAGGCUAGAGUGUAUGGUGUAUUUGGAAUGGUGAUGCCUCAAGGAGUAAAAGUUAUUGAAGAGCAAAAAGCCGAAGAUUUAGGGAAGAGAUGUCAAGUGGAAGACCAAUCCGAAGAAGUUUAGUGGUGAAGCCCAAACGGUGUAAAGCCAGGAGAAAAAAUAUGACGAGAAUAAAAGAUGAAGCCUAAUCAGGUGUAAGACCAGAGGAGGAUGAGAGGAGUUGAAGAUGAAAGCCCAAACAAGGAGGCAAUAUGGUGCCGAUGAUCAAGAUGAAGUCCUUUCCAUGGAGGGGAGACAAGAAUGGAAAUUCCAAGUAAAGAAAUUGUGGAGUUGAUCGCACGACAAGCCGGAGUUGUGAUGUGAGUAGACGGUGGUAGAAGAGUUUAUUAUCAAAUGGUGGCAUCAGUAGUAAAAGAAAGAAGUAGAUGGUAGAAGCAAAUAGUGACAUCGACAACAUAGAACCAAGGAACAGAUCGAGGAAGCCGAAGCAAAGUUCAGAAGGUGGUAGAAGAAGAUAGAAGUACCUUGUGAAUUCGGGGACGAAUUCAUUUAAGGAGGGGAUAAUGUAAUACCCUGCUCAAGGGCAUCAAGUCAACAAAAAUUCAACGAAUUAGGAUCGAUCAACAUUUAGAGUAUUAUGCUAUAUAGAGUUAUGACUAGAGGUUUGGUCGACGAGUUUUGAAGAACGGUAGAGCAAAAAUCAGAUUUGAUCGCAUAGAUAGAAUUUGAGCUACGAAAGGGUCAUGGUCGAGCAUGUUGAAUUUCCAAAGUCAACAAUUCAAGUAAUACUCAAUCUCACUCAUCAAGUUGGGUUAGUGGAAGACAAUUUGUCGAAUCAAAAUCAAAUUUGUACGGGCCUAUAAGGAGAUGGUCGGUAAAGGUUUCAGAGAUGGUCUACGUAGAGGUUUGGUGACGGCCAGAAGACGAAGGUGGCUACUAUGAAUACAUGAGUUAGGGAGUCAAUUUUGAAACCUUAUUUAAGGUAUUUUAGAGUUUGGUCGAGACAAAACCAAGAUGGUUAAGAAGAAGACCAAGAUAGUCCGGAGGAAGACGGUUUUGGCCGAUAUGAUCGAAACGAUCUAGUUGAGGGCAAAUGUGGCCAAACUUUGUGCAAACAUGGAAAAGGAGUUCAUAGAAAUAUUUUACACAUUUCCUUGACUUCUGGAAAUGGUCAACUCAGAUGUCAAAGUCAAGUAAAGUCAAAGGAGAGAGAAAGAAUCCCAUUGGUCCAUAUAACCCAUUCGAGCAAUCAAUAGGAGCAUGCCACGUGGAGGGGACCAAAUUCCUUAAUCUUGGACAUGGUGUGUAAUAAAUCAAAUAAUUUUAUGGUGAAGAAAUCAGGGGUAAUACACAUCUAGAGAGCAAGAAGACAUGGAGAUACUAUUUGUUCCCGAAAUGGACUACAAGGGGUAAUGGAAACUAUGGGCUGAAGGAAGGCUUUUCUACAUGAAACCCCACGACAUCUAAGCUUCAUUUAGGACUCAGGGGAAGUAUUGGAUUGGGCUGGAGCACAAGAAAAACAGAUUGGAAGAUUAAAGACCCGAAACUGUCAAAAUGGGCCAUUUUUGCGGUUUGGUUAAGGAGGGAGAAGGCUAAUGGAAACAUAUCAGGCACGAAAACUUCCAUGCAUUGGUUCUUCCCCUACACACUGAAGUCUACAGGAGCAAGGGAGACAAUCCUACGAAGUAGGUUUCACAUGUGUUAAGCUUAAAGGCCAUUUUGGAGCUAAAAAGUGGUGAGGUGGAAACUUAACUUGGGAGUCAAGUUUCGUUCUGAUUUUGGGUACAGUGAACCUACAUGGGAAGGUGGUUUAAUUUCUAGAAGAUGGGACGUAAAUGGUUUGAUUCAGUGUACUUUCAUGCAUGGGAGCUUUUGGAGUGCAUUUUGGUGACAAGUGGAACUACACAUGUCAAGUGUUUCCACCCCACUUUUUGGCUAUAAAUAGGACCCUUAGUAUGGGUUUUAGAAGUUUAGAAACCCCAUGUGCCUUCUCUCUCAGUCGAUCUUAUGGUUUGUUCUUGAGAGAGAAAAUGGCAAAAACUGAUAAAAAUUUCUAAGUGAAUGAGGAGAGUGUAGGAGGCUUUUCCGUGUGUUGAUCCUUGUCCUAGGAUCUGUUGUGUUGUGCUAGGAGAGGUGGUCUUUCGCUUUUGAGGUGUUGUGCGGCUUGUGAAAACCUAGGUGGGUUCCAUGUGUGUGUGUGUGUUGUGUGUUGCUAACCGUGUGUGUAUGCAGGUUGGAGAACUUGAACCGUGAGGAUUCAUGAGCUAGGACCGCAUUUGCGGUUUAUGUGUGUGCAUGUGGGAGUUGGUAGAACCCAUGCUUGAGUGUUUAAUUAUAAUGCAUGUUAUAGUUAUGGUUAUACAUAUCUUGUCUUGUUGUUGUGAACAUGGUUGUCUAGGGGUGAUACCAUGAUUGAUAUGCAUUGUGUUGGUAAGUGGUUAGAUUACAUGCAUGCAUCAUUAGUUUUGUAGUUGCAUAUGUUAUGGUGUUGUGUAGCAUGUAGAUUUGAGUGAAACUCUUCUCAUGCCGGUUCAUAUGCAUUGCAUGUAGUGUAGUUGGGAUUGCAUAGAGAUUUGAGUGAGACUCUUUCUUAUGCCGGGUAGUUGUUUAGUAUGUCGCUCGCUUUAGAAUUGUCGAGUCUAGACCAAGUGUCGCAUGGAGGUUAGAGAUGGAGCUCCCUCAUGCCAGUUGUGUUUUGUGUUGUGGUCUUGACUAGGGAAAGUGGGUGUGUGUGUCGUGCAUCUAGUCUACAUGUGUGUUGCAUGGAGGUUAGAGGAGGAUCUCCCUCAUGCUGGUUUGAGUUGUGUUGCAUCUAGACUAAUGCUUGUGAGUAUGUGGCCGUCUCGGGGUUAGAUUGGGAGAAGCACAAUUCUCCGGUGAUAUGCAUGGACCAUGGGGUAAGAUUGGGAGAAGCCCAAUUCUCGAGUGGUGGAGUGACCUACUCUCCAUGGAGUGGGCCGCGCCCAUGGACAAGCGCUGCAUGACGAUGCGGCCUGGGUUAGAUUGGGAGAAGGUCAAUCCCCGGAGUGAUGUUUUCCGGUCAUGUGACUUUUGUGUUUGUGGACGGGAGUGUUCAGGGUGGAGAAAUAAAUCAAAAGAAUUUAUUACAAUUAGACUAAAAUAAGAUAAUAUUGUUAGUUAGAUUUUUCUUAGACUGAAUAAUAUAAGAAUGUGUAUAAUUUGAUAGGAGAAAUUUAACUUUUACACUUUAUGUAGUACCAUUAUUCAACUUUACCUUCAAUAGAAGGACAUUUUCAUAAAUACCUAAGAUGUGUAGUUACAAUGACUAAACUAACCCUAAAGGGCUUGCUUCUUUGUGCUCGAUUGAGGAUACGAUCCUCCACGCGGUGCUUAUAGAUCCUUUCACGUCCUUGUACGUGAUUGAGAGUAGAUUUCGCUCUUCCACCGUAUUCUCCUCUGUGACGAAUUGCUCCAUGAACUGUACCAUCUCCUCGUAACGCUCCGCUUGCUCGGCGGGGUUUGCCACGUAAACGUACUGGUUUCUGCUUAAUUUCACUGCUGCCAUUGGAGAGAGAAAGUGAGAGAGAGAGUUACUAGAGCUUGGGAAACGAGGAAGAAAGAUUGCAGAAGAUGCGAAGAAAACAGAGACCCUUGCCAUAAACUGAUGGCAGCACUGAGUUCUAAGAAUGACUGAAGAAAGUGAUGCAUGUAGAAGAAGCUAAAGAGAUGGCUGUUGAAGGAGCUAAGGGGUUGAAUCAGGUCGUUGAAGAUGCUAAAAUGUGUACACAGUUAAAACCCAAACACUUAUACUUCUCAGAAGCUAAGUGGUAGCUAUAAGACGGCUAUGGAUGUUGCAGUGGACGUGAUCAAUGGUUACUGAACAAAGAAGACACUGAUAGACUCCGUUGUGCAUUGCCAAAAUGUGAAGUCCUUGAGUUUGUGAAUAAUGGACAGUUCCACUUCUUGUUAAGGAGGAUGGGGUAGAUCUGGCGACUAUUCUUAAGAUUGCAUAUUAUUAUCGACGUGCGAAGAAACUUGAUUACAUUUAUGAUUACACUCUACCUACUCCUUUUGAGCUCAAAGAGUUUGAACAAUCACAAAGUCAACGGUACAAUAGAAAGAACACUUGGAGGAAUACCUUUAAAGGGACCGGUUCUGUAUGUUGGCAAUCACAUAUUCCUUGAUCUUGAACUGCGUCCAGCAGCAAUUCAUUUCUUAAAAAAGAGGAACAUUAUCUUCUGUGGCCUGGCACAUCCUGUGAUGUUUGCCAAAAAUAUAAGCUCAAAGCUCCCUGAUGUGCAGAUGUUCCUCACAGUUAGGAUAAUAGGCGCAGUUCCUGUCGCAAACAUGAAUUUCUACAAGCUGCUUCGUUCAAAGGCUCAUGGGGUGUUGUAUCCUGAAGAUGUAUGUGCAGCUUUGCACAGAAAAGUAGUCAACAGUUUUUGUUUUCUCCAUGUAUGGCUUUGACACAUUUUCUGUAGAUCAUUUGUAAACGAUAAUAAAUCAUUUAUAAGACUUUAUAAAUAUAUGUUAUCAUUUAUUGAUGCUUAUAAGGUUUAUAAAUCAUUUUU